rnacentral:rRNA from 1 species
UGGGGAAUUUUGGACAAUGGGGGAAACCCUGAUCCAGCCAUGCCGCGUGAGUGAAGAAGGCCUUCGGGUUGUAAAGCUCUUUCGGCUGGGAAGAAAUCGCACAGGCUAAUACUCUGUGUGGAUGACGGUACCAGCACAAGAAGCACCGGCUAACUACGUGCCAGCAGCCGCGGUAAUACGUAGGGUGCGAGCGUUAAUCGGAAUUACUGGGCGUAAAGCGUGCGCAGGCGGUUGUGCAAGACAGAUGUGAAAUCCCCGGGCUCAACCUGGGAACUGCAUUUGUGACUGCACGACUAGAGUACGGCAGAGGGGGGUAGAAUUCCACGUGUAGCAGUGAAAUGCGUAGAGAUGUGGAGGAAUACCGAUGGCGAAGGCAGCCCCCUGGGCCGAUACUGACGCUCAUGCACGAAAGCGUGGGGAGCAAACA